CCUACGGGUGGCAGCAGUGAGGAAUAUUGGUCAAUGGACGAAAGUCUGAACCAGCCAUGCCGCGUGCAGGAAGACGGCUCUAUGAGUUGUAAACUGCUUUUGUACGAGGGUAAACGCAGAUACGUGUAUCUGUCUGAAAGUAUCAUACGAAUAAGGAUCGGCUAACUCCGUGCCAGCAGCCGCGGUAAUACGGAGGAUUCAAGCGUUAUCCGGAUUUAUUGGGUUUAAAGGGUGCGUAGGCGGUCGGAUAAGUUAGAGGUGAAAGCCCGAGGCUCAACUUCGGAAUUGCCUCUGAUACUGGUCGGCUAGAGAGUAGGUGCGGUAGGCGGAAUGUAUGGUGUAGCGGUGAAAUGCUUAGAGAUCAUACAGAACACCGAUUGCGAAGGCAGCUUACCAAGCUGCUUCUGACGUUGAGGCACGAAAGCGUGGGGAGCAAACAGGAUUAGAUACCCGAGUAGUC
rnacentral:rRNA from 1 species